CCUACGGGAGGCAGCAGUAGGGAAUAUUGCUCAAUGGGGGAAACCCUGAAGCAGCAACGCCGCGUGGAGGAUGAAGGUUUUCGGAUUGUAAACUCCUUUUGUUAGAGAAGAUAAUGACGGUAUCUAACGAAUAAGCACCGGCUAACUCCGUGCCAGCAGCCGCGGUAAUACGGAGGGUGCAAGCGUUACUCGGAGUCACUGGGCGGAAAGAGCGCGUAGGCGGGAUAGCAAGUCAGAUGUGAAAUCCUAUGGCUUAACCAUAGAACUGCAUUUGAAACUGUUAUUCUAGAGUAUGGGAGAGGUAGGUGGAAUUCUUGGUGUAGGGGUAAAAUCCGUAGAGAUCAAGAGGAAUACUCAUUGCGAAGGCGACCUGCUAGAACAUAACUGACGCUGAUGCGCGAAAGCGUGGGGAGCAAACAGGAUUAGAUACCCCGGUAGUC
rnacentral:rRNA from 1 species